UGGGGGAUAUUGCACAAUGGGCGAAAGCCUGAUGCAGCGACGCCGCGUGGGGGAUGAAGGCCUUCGGGUUGUAAACUUCUUUUGCUCUGAACAAGGCAUGCUAAUGGGUGUGUUGAGUGUAGGGGUUGAUUACCGCCGGCUAACUACGUGCCAGCAGCCGCGGUAAUACGUAGGGCGCGAGCGUUGUCCGGAAUUAUUGGGCGUAAAGGGCUUGUAGGUGGCUGGUUGCGUCUGUCGUGAAAGCUCAUGGCUUAACUGUGGGUUUGCGGUGGGUACGGGCUGGCUUGAGUGCAGUAGGGGAGGCUGGAAUUCCUGGUGUAGCGGUGGAAUGCGCAGAUAUCAGGAGGAAUACCGGUGGCGAAGGCGGGUCUCUGGGCUGUUACUGACACUGAGGAGCGAAAGCAUGGGGAGCGAACAGG
rnacentral:rRNA from 1 species